AGAGUUUGAUCCUGGCUCAGGACGAACGCUGGCGGCGUGCUUAACACAUGCAAGUCGAACGGAAAGUGCCCAGCUUGCUGGGUGACUCGAGUGGCGAACGGGUGAGUAACACGUGGGUGAUCUGCCCUGCACUUUGGGAUAAGCCUGGGAAACUGGGUCUAAUACCGAAUACACCUUGCUGGCUGCAUGGCCUGGUGGGGGAAAGCUUUUGCGGUGUGGGAUGGGCCCGCGGCCUAUCAGCUUGUUGGUGGGGUGAUGGCCUACCAAGGCGACGACGGGUAGCCGGCCUGAGAGGGUGUCCGGCCACACUGGGACUGAGAUACGGCCCAGACUCCUACGGGAGGCAGCAGUGGGGAAUAUUGCACAAUGGGCGCAAGCCUGAUGCAGCGACGCCGCGUGAGGGAUGACGGCCUUCGGGUUGUAAACCUCUUUCACUAGGGACGAAGCGCAAGUGACGGUACCUAGAGAAGAAGCACCGGCCAACUACGUGCCAGCCGCCGCGGUAAUAC
rnacentral:rRNA from 1 species